rnacentral:rRNA from 1 species
AUUGAACGCUGGCGGCAGGCCUAACACAUGCAAGUCGAGCGGGGUUUUCGGACCUAGCGGCGGACGGGUGAGUAAUGCGUAGGAAGCUGCCCGAUAGAGGGGGAUACCAGUUGGAAACGACUGUUAAUACCGCAUAAUGUCUACGGACCAAAGUGUGGGACCUUCGGGCCACAUGCUAUCGGAUGCGCCUACGUGGGAUUAGCUAGUUGGUGAGGUAAUGGCUCACCAAGGCGACGAUCUCUAGCUGGUUUGAGAGGAUGAUCAGCCACACUGGAACUGAGACACGGUCCAGACUCCUACGGGAGGCAGCAGUGGGGAAUAUUGGACAAUGGGCGCAAGCCUGAUCCAGCCAUGCCGCGUGUGUGAAGAAGGCCUUCGGGUUGUAAAGCACUUUCAGCGAGGAGGAAGGGGUUGUAGUUAAUAGCUGCAACCUUUGACGUUACUCGCAGAAGAAGCACCGGCUAACUCUGUGCCAGCCGCCGCUGUAACAC